GACGUAGGGCGCGAGCGUUGUCCGGAUUUAUUGGGCGUAAAGAGCUCGUAGGCGGCUUGUCGCGUCGAAUGUGAAAUCUCAGGGUUCAACUCUGACAUUGCAUUCGAUACGGGCAGGCUAGAGUUCGGUAGGGGAGACUGGAAUUCCUGGUGUAGCGGUGAGAUGCGCAGAUAUCAGGAGGAACACCGGUGGCGAAGGCGAUCACCUGGGGUUGUUCUGACGCUGAGGAGCGAAAGCUAGGGGAGCAAACGGG
rnacentral:rRNA from 1 species